rnacentral:rRNA from 1 species
UGCAUUUCAUACUGGGUCGCUAGAGUACUUUAGGGAGGGGUAGAAUUCCACGUGUAGCGGUGAAAUGCGUAGAGAUGUGGAGGAAUACCGAAGGCGAAGGCAGCCCCUUGGGAAUGUACUGACGCUCAUGUGCGAAAGCGUGGGGAGCAAACAGGAUUAGAUACCCUGGUAGUCCACGCCGUAAACGAUGAGUGCUAGGUGUUAGACCCUUUCCGGGGUUUAGUGCCGCAGCUAACGCAUUAAGCACUCCGCCUGGGGAGUACGACCGCAAGGUUGAAACUCAAAGGAAUUGACGGGGGCCCGCACAAGCGGUGGAGCAUGUGGUUCAAUUCGAAGCAACGCGAAGAACCUUACCAGGUCUUGACAUCCCUCUGACCGCUCUAGAGAUAGAGUUUUCUUCGGGACA